GAGGGUGGAGCUCAGUGGUAGAGCACAUGCUUAGCGUGCAUGAGGUUCUGCGUUCAACCUCCAGUACCUCCU
rnacentral:tRNA from 1 species